CCUCACCCAUAUGAUCCUUUUGGUUAUUUUGUUUUCACCCCUGAGUUUUUCAAGCAGAAGAAUCCUACUUACCUCGCAGAAGUUUGGAAAGAAUACAACAAAGGUGACUCCAGAUACGUUGGGAGGGACUCAGCCGUAAUUGCGGUCGAAGGAAGAACCGCUGUUCUGGAGGGCCCAGCUUGCAUUCUAGCUGCGCUAUGGUAAUUGUUGGAUGGCAUGAAGACGGGUCAAUUUUUGGAAUUUUUGAAGAGGAUGUCAUUAAAAGUAUCUUGAGUAUAUUCAUUACUUAUGCUGUACUUAACUUUAUCCAAGCUACUCUAGAUAUAAUCCUGAGCUUCAGUACAUGGGGAAGUAACGCAGUUGGUGACCAUCAAUACCGGUUUCGAAAUCGACAUGGACAUCCAAUAUUAGAUCCGAAGAUAUGCUGACCGAAGUUCUGUCGUAUUUCACGAAACCAUCAAUACCGGAGAAGACGAAGCGUAUCCGGUACU